rnacentral:misc_RNA from 1 species
AAGUCGAGCGAGACUCUUCGGAGUCUAGCGGCGGACGGGUGACCUAACACGUGGGCAACCUGCCUGUAAGACUGGGAUAACACCGGGAAACCGGUGCUAAUACCGGAUAAUCCUUUUCCUCUCAUGAGGAAAAGCUGAAAGUCGGUUUCGGCUGACACUUACAGAUGGGCCCGCGGCGCAUUAGCUAGUUGGUGAGGUAACGGCUCACCAAGGCGACGAUGCGUAGCCGACCUGAGAGGGUGAUCGGCCACACUGGGACUGAGAUACGGCCCACACUCCUACGGGAGGCAGCAGUGGG